GACGAACGCUGGCGGCGUGCUUAACACAUGCAAGUCGUACGGUAAGGCCCUUUCGGGGGUACGCGAGUGGCGAACGGGUGAGUAACACGUGAGUAACCUGCCCACAACUUUGGGAUAACGCUAGGAAACUGGUGCUAAUACUGGAUAUGUGCUCCUGCUGCAUGGUGGGGGUUGGAAAGCUCCGGCGGUUGUGGAUGGACUCGCGGCCUAUCAGCUUGUUGGUGGGGUAGUGGCCUACCAAGGCGGCGACGGGUAGCCGGCCUGAGAGGGUGACCGGCCACAUUGGGACUGAGAUACGGCCCAGACGCCUACGGGAGGCAGCAGUGGGGAAUAUUGCACAAUGGGCGCAAGCCUGAUGCAGCAACGCCGCGUGCGGGAUGACGGCCUUCGGGUUGUAAACCGCUUUCAGCAGGGACGAAGCUUUUUGUGACGGUACCUGCAGAAGAAGCACCGGCUAACUACGUG
rnacentral:rRNA from 1 species